CAAAAGUUUGAAGAGAUAGGAUCUGAAUGCCGCAGGCUCAAAGAGGAGACGAUGAACAUAGCCAAGCAGAGUGAUUACAACCAAGUCAGGAUAAACCUAAUGUUUAGCAUCUUGAAAGCCCGUGAAGACAACAACUUUGCCCAUGCUGAUCACCUUACUGGGCUCCUCCGGUUGGUUAAAUUCCCUUCGCCAUUUCUUUUCUUAAUUCUUGGGAUUUCGGAUUUCAUAAUUAAUCUUGCUAAUGCUAGCUAUUACAAGGAGAGAAACAUAAGUUAACGAACUCAAAAUAAAAGAAUCAAAAUGCACCCUUGAUAAUUAAUCUUCUCUCAAUAAUUGUGUUUCCUAUUCGUUGUGUUGGCAGCAAGGAAAUGGAAAAGCAGGAACAAGGAAAGGCAGGCCUGGUUGGCUGACUCAUGAUCAUGGAAAACGACGAGCAGUUUGCCUUUGCAGUGACUCCUGAUCGUCUUUUCUUAUUAAAAUGAAAUCAUCAGUCCUAAAUCUAGAUAUGUAUCGACAUUAGUCUUCCCUUGAUAUCCUUCUUCCUUUGAUGAAGUAUUCAUUUGAUUAAGGAUUUGCGUUCUCUUUCCGAAUUGAAUGUUUUGAGUUAUAGUACAUACCAUGUGAAUUGCCGGGCGAUGCCACCGAUUGUUAUAUAAACGGUAUAAGCAUUCGGUUGAGUAUAAUCUGAGGUAAUCGAAGAAGAACAUAGGCCGACAUAAUUAAACAAAAUGAGAAAAAAAAUAAAAAUUACUAGAAGUAUUGAGGUUAAGCAAUGCAAUCACAAGCUUUAUGUUAGAGAAACGUAAAGUCUUAACUAGCCUGUUUAGCUUUGCAGUAUUCAGUUGUUUUUAUUUAUUUUGAUUUUGUUUUUUAAGAAUUAUUUUUCAUAUUAAUUUUAAAAUAAAUAAAUAAAUAAAUCAUUUUUUUUUACCAAAAAAGGGUGUGGCUUCAAUAACAAAUAGUGAAAAAGUCUCAAAUACAAAGCAACAAGUACAUAAUAAAUUACCUGAUUGUUAAUCAAGGUAUACAUAAAUUCACUCGAAUAUUUAUAAUUAUUAAAAUAAUAAUAAUAAAGAAAGAAAGAGCUCCAGACUUUUUGACCGUGCAUUCUCAUUUCACUUUGAAUUCCAGUGAGAUUGAUAAUUUCUUUUGGAAAAAAAAACUUGUUUAACUUUGUCUCAGGUGUAGAAAGGUGUUUUCAAUGGGAUUUAUUAGUAAUUAUUAUUUUUAAUAGGGACAACUUAGUUUGUUUGCGUUUUAAAUAAAGUGUAAUGAUUUAAACACUUUUAAAAGUAAGAAAAAUUAAAACUAGUAGGAAUAGUUUUAUGGUUUUAUAGUAAAAGAAUGAUAUUGCCCUUAAAAGAAAAUGAUAAAACUUGUAUUCAGAGUCAUUUAGAUCUUUUCAAUACAGUUAUUUUGUAAUUAUAUAUUUGAAUUAAAAACAAUUAAAUCUUUAAUUAUAUUUAUAUAAAUAAUUAAUAUAUGUCACAUACAUUUUAGCAAGUGAAAGGCGUUCAUGCUCUUAAGAUGAUGUUUGCCUCCCCUAACAAUGGUUAAAAGUUGUGUAAACAAUGAUGUUUGAAACGAUGGGUCAUUCUCUUUGCGAUGGUGGGAUGCUUGUUUACGAAUGAAGUGUGGUUGAGCUCCUUAUAAACAUUUUUCUUUUCCUGUUUUUUCUUCCUCUUUUAGUCUAGAAAUUGAUGCCAACUCUUUUAAAAAUUUAUUGUGUUCUCUAGUUUGUAUUUUUAUUAAUUUUGAUUAUCAUUUGUUUUUGCUUUUAAUGCAUUUUGAUCUUUAAUUGAUUUGCAAUUUCAUCCAUAAGAAUUUUGUUUCAUUUAAUUUUUAUAUGAAAUUUGAUCUUUAUUAUUUUAUUUCUAUUUUUUUUGUUUUUAUACUUAUCUAGAUUUUUUUUUUCAAUUUUACCUCUCAUUAUUUUAUUUUAUUUAAUUUUUGCAUUCAAUUUUAAUCUUUAUUUUUUUAUUGUUAUUUUUUUUAUUUUCUUAAUUUUUUUCAUUUAGCUUUUAUGCUAGAUUUAGUCAUUGUUGUUUCGAUUACUAUUUAUUUUGGUUUUUAAUUUUGGAUGAUUAAGGAUUAUGCUUAGUGAUUUUUUAUUGUUUGCUUUUAAUGAGAUAAUCUCGAUCUUAUGAACCGGGUCACUAUUUCAAGGAUUAAUCCGAUUUAACUUUGAUUUUUUAUUCCUUUUUUUUAAAACAAAAUAAUUACUUUUUAAUUUCAUCAUUUGGUUUUAGGUUAUUAGGUCUAAAUUCCCCCCAUUUAUGUGGUGUUAUUUCGGUGUUAUAUCUUAGGUUGAGUUUUUUUCGAGAUAACUCUGGUUUUUUUUUUUUUAAUUUAGUUUUUCUAAUUUAAUUUUUUAAUAUUAAAUUAUUGAACCUUACAAAUUGUAUUUUGUUCAUUAUUUUUUUUUUUUAUAAGUUUAACAUGAUCUCGAGGUCAUUGUCUUUUUUUUAAAUUAAUUUUUUUAAUCUGGAACUCCCAUCACGGGUCGCAUGGUAGUCCAACUAAUCUGAGUUAAGUUAAAGUUUUUUCAAUUUUUUUUUAUUUUUUUUUACCAGUCGCACGCACUGUGUAGCGUAAAACUAAAAGUUGUAUCAGAAGAAAUGUGCAGGACAUGUGUAGGUCGGCUAAUGCUGGCCAUAAAUAGCCAUGUCUGUGAAGCUAUGCAGGUGUGCUAGUGGAGACAGAAACACUUAUGCAGAAAAGUGUGACGUAUGUUCCGGUAGUUCCAAAAAGAAUCAGAUAAAUAGUUGAGAAAUUUAAUAUUUUAAAGUUGUUUUAUGGGAAACAUGAUAUUUCAAAAAUAUAUUUGUUAAAUGACUUCACAAUUUACGAUGACGAGAGAAAAAUAAAAUAAAUACUUUAAUUAUACAUCAAAUCUAUCAUAAAAAAAACUCGACCAUGUGAAUCUAAUAAAAUUAAAGAAGUUCACCAAGUAGAUCACACUCAUUGAAGCUCUAAUUAUAAUAUCACUAGCAGCAUUAUAAAGUUCUGGACAAAAUAAAUCAAAUAUAAACAAUAAAGAUAAUCAAGGAUAAUGAUAAUUGAAGUGGGUCAUAUAUAAUAGGCGGAAAACAUGGUGAAAUCUAGGGUUAAGAUUAAAAAAGAUGAUGGAAGGGAAGAUGAAGGUGAAGAUGAAGAACAACAAUCAGAUUAGCGAGAAGAACAGGCAUCAAAAUUCUGGAUGGAGAAGUUCCAGUUUUCCAGACUGCAACAGUAGAAAUGAUAAGACCACCUGCUAAGAAGGCCAGUAAUCUGUCGUGAAUGAAGAAAUUCAUGGAUGGUAGCAGCGAGAUUUAGCAUGAAGCAUUUAACUUGUUUUCUCUAUUGUAAUUCAUGUCGCUAGAGGUAAUAGAAUUGCACUUGUCUUGCCAGCAUUUAUAGAGAUAUGAAUCUGUUGAAAGGGAAAUUAAAUCGUAGAGUCAACCUUGUUGCGGAUUCCAAAGGGAAACCAUGAUGGUUUAACAGUUAAGCUUUGGUCAUCAAUGCAAUUGGUUCAGGUUGGGGUUUGGAAGAGGUUCGGUGAACUGCGGCGGCCGGAGCCUAAUCUGAUUAGGAGUGGGUACCCUAGGUUGGUUCGGUGGAACAAAUUGAAACUGGAAGUUGAGAAUGUUUCGUUGGUUCUAGACUCGGAUAAAGAGAGUUUUAGCUCUGGAAAACUGGGAUUUCCUCAAGUUUUAUGGAGAAAAAGAAAUGUGGGCCGGCGACUGUUGGUUCUAGUUUGAACGACGAUUUAAUGGCAUUUGCUCGACGCGUCAGGAUUUCAAUGCUGUGUGGAGUUGGCUGUUCAGAACAGUAUUUACCUCAUAGGGUUGCAAUGCAAUUCGGAACCGACGAAGAUCUUUCAGGGUUGUGUUGGUCAAUGCUCUAAUUAACAGACCUGAGAUUGCAGAGAGCUUAAAGCUUUUGUUGAAGAGCUUGAGCAGAUGAUCACACGAAUAAAAACAGCAAGAUUAAGACAAAAUUGUUAACCUAGCUAGCCUUCUUCGUGAGAACGAUUUGCUUGAUUUUAUUUUAUUUGAAUUCAUGGCUUCUCUUCUCUGUUGGCUAUGCUACUAACAUGGCAGUAGCAUUGCAGCAGGUUCCUAAUAUGGAUAACUCCCGCCAUUGACAACAGAUGCAGAACAAGGUUAAAAGGAUAAAAGAAAUAAAUAUAUUCAUAUGUAACCAUGCACUAUGGCAUGAAGUUAUUAUCACAGUGUGCAGACAAAUGCCGUGUGCUGCUGGACCCAACGAGAGUCUACUAGGCGUUAUCUGUUCUGCCCACCCAAUCCUGACUAGAUAAGCACUUGAGAGUUUUUUUUUAUUUUAUCCAGUUGAUUUGAAGUGUUGUUUUGAUAUAAAUUUUGUAAAGAAGAGAUAUUUUUGUUAAGACCAAUUUGAUAUUUGUAUUUUUGUUUAAUAAUUUUAUCUUUUAAAAAUAUCUUUUAUUUGUUUAUAUAAAAGUUUAAAUAAAAGCAAUAGAAACUAGUAGAAUUCAACAUUAAUUAAAUAUUAUGAUGAUGUUUGAUUCAUGUUGUGAUAACUUUAUAAAUAUUAAAUUCAAAUAAAUUAUGAUGACUAAUUUAAAAUUAAUUAAUUAUUAAAAGAGUUUUUUUAAUAUUAAAAUGAUGAUAUAUUAAAUCAACCUAAACUUUACAGUUUAAUUUGUAAAACCUUGACUUGAAUCAUGAACUCCACUUGACAAAUUAAAAAAAAAAACAUUAAGGUUGUUACGACGAUAAAGCACAAACAACAAUAAUAAUUCAAGAUUUUGACUAAAAGUAGAAUCCAUUAUACAUGUGUGUUGAUUAUUGAGUUAUAACCCGUCCGUAUAUGAAAAGGAAUGAAUUUAGCAAAGUUAUUAAACUCGGUCGACCUAAUGGUUGGACUGGUCUGGGUUUGUUAAAAGACCAGUCAAUGCAAUGACCCGACAAAACCUGGUCGACCCAUGACCCGGAUGAGACCCAAUAUUUUUUUUUUCAAACGUGGUUUUUUUUUAUAACCUUCUUUUUUAUAUUUUUUUUAGUUGGUUAUUAACACUUUUUAAAGUUCACUAUAUAAAUACUAAAAAUAUAUUUUAUUUUUUCAAUGUAGAAUUUGAAACCCUUUAGUAUAUACUCUAUGUUCCCAAGAAAUUUUUUUUUUUUUCAAUGUGGGAUUUCAAGCCCUUUCAUAUAUAUACUUUAUGUUCAUAAGAAAAAAGUUAUGUUUUUUCAAAGUGAGAUUUGAAACCAUAUAGCAUAUAUACUCUGUUUCCAAGAAAAAACGUUGUUUUUUUAAAUAUGUAAUUUGAAGUUCCUUCGUAUAUAUACUCCAUGUUCAUAAGAAAAAUGUUAUGUUUUUUCAAUGUGAGAUAACAAACGUUUUGGUUUAAAUACUUCAACUUAAAAGUAUGACAUAAUAUAUUUUUAAUGUGAGAUUUAAAGCCCUUUAAUAUAUAUAUAUAUAUAAUAUAUAUAUAUAUAUAUAUAUAUAUAUAUAUAUACACCUAUAUUCCUAAAAAAAAAAAUUAUUUUUUCAAUGUAGGAUUUAAAGUCCUUUUGUAUAUAUAUUUUAUUUUCACAAGAAAAAUGUUAUGUAUUUUUCAAUGUAAGAUUUUAAAUUUUUUAUUAUACUUUAUCUUUAUAAAUUUUUUUUUUAAAUUAAUCCAAUUAACCUGUCUACCUUUAGAGCUGAUUUAAUAAUUUUGGGAUGGAAGGAAUAUUUAAAAUAGUCUUAGAACAAGUCACAUUUGUUUGCUACCCGAUUUGAAAAGAGAAAGUUGCUCUCCCGUAAUGUCUACUUUUAAAAUCAAAAGAAUCCAACAGAAAACGGCAACCAUGACCAUGCCAAAAGGGCUUAAACAAAAGCUCUACAAGAUCAAUCCACGAAAGUUAAACUCCAUUGAAUCAAGAUUUGAAUGUGCUGGGCAAUGAAAAGCCCACGAUUAUAUAAAAUAAAAAAAUAAAAUUCAAAGAGAGUACUGGAAUGCUUGACUAUAACUGUAAAACCAAGCCUAGUCCAAUAAAUCUAUGUAAAAAUCCGAUAAUUCAGAACCUAGAUUAAUUGCUAUCAUGAUUUAUGACCUAACCAAUUUAGUUACAUUAAUGUUGACCAUGAUUUAGUCUAGAUUUAUCCUAGUCAAAAGAGAAAAGAAAUUCCAUAAAAUCUUAACAUGAUAAUCGGGGUCAUUUUCUUCGAGCAAGCAACGAAUCUCCAUAAAAUCUUAAACAUAAUUAGUGCAUAGAUUACCAAAUAUAUAUAUAUAUAUAUAUAUAUAUAUAUAUAUAUAUUGUACCAGAUGAAACAAAACAAUUCUCAGUACGUGGCGUUGUUAUACCUGAGAAUGAUCUAAAAAAUCAGGUCAUAGAUUUCUAGCCUAUACACUGAUUUUAUUAAAAGAAUGAAGAAAGAAAUGGAAGUAAAUAUAAACAAAUUUCUAAUACGAACGAAUAAGGCAAGACCAACAAUGUCAGGAUCCUUGAUCAAACACAGAGCAUUCUUAAUAAAGUAUAACAAGAAUUUAAAUGAUGAAAAUAAAGUCUUACUUAAAUUUGUAAUGCAAAUCAAUACACGAGAUAUUGAUUAUAGAGGAGAGUGGAUAUGGGUUAAAGGUACGAGUUACAAGGGAGAAUAAAAUUUUCUCAGGGAAAAUGAUUGUCUGCCUUCUGAGGAUUUAGAAGUCCCCUUUUAUAAAUGAGUUGACACGGAAGAGGCCAAAAUGUCUUGUUGGGAAAGCUUGGAGAUUUCGUUAGAACCCAUGUGAACCCAUGUUGUAUUGCUUUCCAUGAUUGGGUGACGACAAAAUGAAAAAUGCCUAUGUUUUUUGUGGGACUUUCAUUUGUUGUCUUCUUGCCACCGACACUGGAUUUGUUUGUUUGUAAUAGCAGGUGAUAUUUGUAAUAAAAAACCUAAAACUAAUGGGCUUAAAAUUAAAAAGGACUCAAAACAGUUGAGUCGAAAAUAUAUGGGCUCUAAACAGAUGAGCCUGAGAAAGCCUAAAAUACUCUUUUUUUUAUUUUAUUUUAAUGUCGCUUGAUAGGCGGUAGGAUACCAAAACAGUCAUCUUCAUUAUCGUCUCCAAGGGAAAUGGUAAGAGAUAUCGAUCCAGAUGAGCUGGAUUGGGACAAGACCGUUUUCGGGUCUUGGCUUUGUAUAAUGCUUUGGACUAUUUGUAGGUAUUCUUCUUUAGUUUUAGUAGGCAAUGAAAGUUGUCGUUUGAGACUUUCGGGCUAGAAACUUUGAUUGAGGAUGAUGAUCAAUGAUGAGAGCUAUUUGAUGUUUUUGUAACCAUUCCGUAACAACUAAUUUGGAACUUUUGGAUUCAGCUGCAAAAGAAUCCUACCAUUUGAUUUUGAACUUGCGAACAAGUACUAGAUGUCCGAUUUGUAGAUUAUAAUCAUAAAACCAUGAAUAUACCCAUGGCAUAAAAACUUUUAUACAGAAAAUGAGAAGGGAAGAGAACUUCCUUUCAUAAGGAGCUAGUUAAAAUUUAUUUUUGAAAUGGAGGUAACUAUUUUCAACUAGAGGAUGGUCUUUGAGGUAGUCAACAUGACAACCAUAGUAGUCCCACCAUUUGAGGAACCAGAGUGGGAGGUUUGUAGUAUUCAUGUCAUUAUGGAAGUAGAAAAACCAAGAAUGACUAUGGUUUGGAUUUUGUAGUAGGAAGGCAUUGAACUAUGCCUGUUGGUAAUCCUAGUACGUAUAGGAAGUAUUGAAGUCCUAGGGGUUUGUACGGAAGUGUAUGAGGAAGGAGAGAUGUUGAUGUAAGGGUUGUCCCCAAUCUUUAGGGUGAAUGACUUUGUGAAUGAUACAUGUAGAAUAUGGCGGUUCAGUGUGAUCAGAAUGAAGUUUGAAGUGUUUGAACUUGACAAAAUUGGUAAUUUCAAGGAUUGCGGCAUAAUAGGUGGUUUGGCUAAAUUCCAGGGUUUGUAGUACCAAUUUGAAUGGAAAAUUUUGGAAGCAACAAUGGAAGGGUUUUCAUGUUAAAAUCCUUCUUCCAUAGUUAAAAUAUUUUGGAAAGUAGUUUUGAAAAUAUAUUUGGAUUUGGUGUUUGGAAAACUGGUUUAUUGUAAAGAAAAGAGGGGUUUUGAAGCAGAAAUGCCUCCUUGAGGUUUUGAAAAUGAUUUGGAAAUAGAUACGGAGUCGCUGGAGGCCUAUUGAGACACUUUUUAUAAUGUUAGGAGUAAUUCUGGUGAUUUGGAUAUAGUGUCAACCCAAUGUUGAACUGCGUAUGUUUGUACAUAUGGUGGUUUUAUAGUUUCUUCUUCUUCAAUAACUGCCUCAUACCAGGAUUUGAUGGGUUUGACAGCUAAGAUAGCUGAAGACAUGAGUUUUGAAAAAGGCUUGGGGCUCUCUGAUUUUGUAGGCUGGGUUUGAGGGGCUUUCCCCUUGUUUUUGGCCUUUGCUUUAGGAGGCAUCAAUACCUAUUUUGAAGGAAUUCUCAGGUUAGGAAAUCAGAAUGGAAUUUGAAUCUCCUUUAAUGUAGACAAUAUCGAAAUAAAAAAUGCUUAAAAUAGCUUGCCAUCUGGCAAAAAUCUGUUUUAAAGCAAGAUUUUGGACAUCUUUUUGUAGAAUUUUUUUUUUGCAGAUUUGCAAUUAACACGUAAAAGAAAUUUUUGAUUUAAUAAAUCACUUUGAAAUUUUGUAAUACAGAAAACAAUUGAAAGGAUCUUUUUUUAUAGUAGAGUAAUUUUUCUGGCAAUCAUUCUAGUGGGCGGAUGUGUAUUGGAGGAUUUGUUCUUUAAGAAUCCCACCAUAUCCUAGGUCAGAGACAUCGGUCUCGACAAUCUUAGGAGCUAACGGGUUAGCUAAAUGGAGGAGAGAAAUAGUUUGGACCUCUUACUUAAUCUGUUUGACUAGGUCGGUAUGGAUGUCGGACCAAGAAAUGAGGUUUGUUUUUAACGUGUCAUGUAAAGGUUUGGCUAGACCGCUAAUAUUGGGAUAGUAGUCUAGAACAUAAUUAAGACUGCCUAAAAACCUUUGCAAUUGGGUUUUAUCGGUGAUCUUAUUAGGAAAUUUAUUUGUAAAGGUUAGAGACUUUUUUAUUGGUGUUACAGUGCCUUGGCAAAUAUAAUGCCCUAGAAAACGGACACGAUUUGGAAGAGAGAAAAUUUUGUUUUAGAAACAAUUAAACCAUUUUUUUUUGUAGUAUGAAAGGAAGUAUGUAGAUGUUUGAAAUGUUGAUCUAUGGAAUGUGAAAAAAUAAUCACAUCGUCAAUGUAAACAAUGCAGAACUUUGAAUGUGCAUUGAAGAUGUCAUCCAUGAUGCGUUGAAAUUCAGAUGGUGCAUUUUUUAGGCCAAAGGGCAUAACAAUCCAUUUGUAUUGGCCUAAAGGAACUAUAAAAGCAGUUUUGUAUCUAUCUUUGGGAUCAAUCUGUAUUUGCCAAAAUCCGGAUUUCAUAUCGAACUUAGAAAAUAUGAAUGCAGAGUGCAAUUUUUGUAACAUAUCUUUUUUGUUGGGGAUUAGAUAUCUGAUCCAUUUGAGAGCAGAAUUUAAAGGUUUGUAAUUGAUCACAAGUCUUGGUAUGCCUCUUUCGAUUUCAGAGUUUUUAUUCACAUAAAAGGCUGCACACAACCAGGGUGAUCGAGACUUUUGGAUAAGACCUUUAGACUCGCAAUCGCGGAUUUCAAGUAUGCAAUGCUGUUCUAAAUCAACAUUUAUUUGGAUAGGUCUUGCUUUUGUAGUUAUAAGAUUUUUUGAAAAAGUAUCUUCAUAUGAAAGAUCAACGAUGUGUUGUUUUCUUUUCUAGAAAGCAUUAGGUAAGUCUGAACAGAUUUGUUGUUCAAUCUUAUUUUGUAAAUCAAUGAUUUUCUUUUGUAAAUCAGAGUUUUGUAAUUGUUUGUUUAUACGACCAAAAAAAAAAAGGUUUUGUAAAUCAUGUAAAUGGAAUUGUUUUCCAUGAAUCAGUGCAUUGAUAUGAUAAGUAUGUAUGGAGCAUGCUUUAAUCAAAUUUAAAUUUCUAGUCUUAGAUUUCUCUAAGAAUGGGAGAACAAGUUUGAUGCUAUUGAUUUUGGAAGUAAUACAAUUAUGAUGUGCUUGAUAUGGAGUGAUCAUGUCGAUGAAUGGAGUGCCAAGAAUGAUAGUAUGAUUAAUAUCUUUUGUAACAACAAAGAAUGUUUUAAGAGAAAUACCUUUGUUGAAAACAGAGGUUGAGUUUUGCCUGCAAUAUGUAACUUUGAAUUAUUAGCAGCAAAGAGUUUUUCAGAGGUAUUUUGUAAAAAUUAUUUUGGAGCCACACCUUCUUUGAUGCAGUUCAAAUAUGCACUUGUGUCAAAUAAGACAAUAGUGUCAAGUUUGAAAUCUCUUGAGAAAAUGAGAGUAAUUCUAGUUAAAUAUUUUUUUGAAGAUAUUUGUGUUAAUACGUUAAGGAAAUCAUUUAGAACAUGCUCAAUAUUUGUAAGUGUAUGUGGCAAUGCAUGAGAUUCAAUGGUUUGAUCUUCUAUAUCAGACUCAGUAUCAAACUAGCUUUCAAUUAUGGAUAGGAGAUGUUGUAGUAUGGCAGAGUCUUUUUGUUGGGCUUGGUUGAGGGUUUGUAAUUCGGAUUUGAGGGUUUUGAUCCUAGAAUGUAAUUCUGAAAUGGUGACUGUGGUUUUGAAUUUCUUUUUGUUAAGGAUCUUUGUAAGGUCAUAGGUACUGGUACUAGUAGAGGGUAGUAUAGAGCGAUUUAGAGGGUUAGAUGAAAGGUAAUCUGGUUGGUUGAAAUCUUUCAAUAACUUAUCUAAGUAGGUUUUUUGAAGUUGAGGAUCAUCAAGUCUUUUGAUAACCUCAAGAAUGAAUUUCUAGUCUUGGGUUAAGACGUUAAUUUGUUUGGAAUUUGUAGAGGCAUAUGAAGUAGCACUAGUAGUUGCUAUUUUAUCGAUUUGAAAUUCUUCUUCAGAAGUGUCUGAAGGAGAGUGGUCAAUGUCUGUGACUUCAAUGUAAAGAUUUUAUAUUUGGUUGAUGGUAUCUUCAUUUAUUUUGAGCUUACAAAGUUUGGUAUUGACCUUGCAGAAACGAGAUAUAUGUCCUUUCUGGUUACAUUUGUAACAAAUAAUGUUUUUAAAAUUAAAUGUUGGUUUGGAUUUUGACUGAAAAUGUCCGUGGGGCUUGGUAAAUUUAUAGAGCUUUUUGUAGUAAGGUUGAUUUAAUUUGGAACAAAACUGUUUUCAUAGUCGACAAGCUCCUCUCUUUAUCCAUUCAGUCCUGAAAAGUAACUAAGACAAUUUCAGUUAUAUUUUCAUGUUCCAAUUAAACACUUUUUAUUUUUUUAUUCUCAAAGAAAAAUAUAUUUUUUUAUUAAAUAUAUAAAGAUCCAAUCAUGAUUUUAUAAUAAGAAUAAGAGAUAUUUUAGUUGGAAAUGAAUCUAAAUGUUAGCUAGAUAAAUGUUUUGUAUGAAUCCUGUAGACCAUUCUUACGAGGAUCGUGAGAGGAGGGCUACAAUUCGUAGAAAAGAAACUGCAAUUCCUUGAGGUCAUCCUGCACUUGUAGAAAAAAUGUAGAAAAUAGAAUUUGAAACAGAAAGUUGAGAAUGUUUCCGUUGGUUCUAGACUCGGGAAAGAGAGAGUUUUAGCUCUGGAGAACUGGGAUUUCGUCAAGUUUUAUGGACCUGUUUUUGGUCAAUGCUCUAAUUAACAGACCUGAGAUUGCAUAGAGCUUAAAGCUUUUCUUGAGCAGAUGAUCACACGAAUAAAAACAGCAAGAUUAGGACUAAAAUUGUUAACCUAGCCUUCUCGUGAGAAUGAUUUGGUUGAUUUUGUUUGCUUUGCUAGUUAUGUUAACAACUCAAGCUUGGCUUUGACAUAUGAAGCAGAUGAAAGUGUUUGGGCUUUAAGCUUUUCAUGACCACCCGGCCGGAGAUUGAAUUCCUGGCUUCUCUUCUUCUGUUGGCUCUGCUACUAACAUGGUAGUAGAGCUUUCGACUGUCAGGCAUGGCGUCAGUAUCGUCAGUAUCGUCACUACUAACAUGGUAGUAGAGCUUCCUUGAAGUUGAAUAUGACUCCUCGGAAGCUCUUCGAUGCCAGUCUUCACAUCGUAAUGUAUUCGCUUCUAACUUAUUUGGGGUCUUUUCAGAAUGGAUCUUGAGAAUGUUCCUCCUCCUGUUCUUCGGUAUCUUUUGGACGCUGAUAGAAUAGGUAUUGCAGCAGGUUCCUUCAUAGAUCAUAACUCCCACCAUUCACAACAGAUGCAGAAGAAGGUUAAAAGGAGAAAAGAAAUAAGUAUGGUAACCAUUGCAGCAGCAUGGCAUGAAGAGGUGUGCUGGACCCAACGCACAGUCUACUAGGCGUUAUCUUUUCUGACAAGCCAAGCAGUCGAGAUUUUAUUCGAUUUUAUCCUGUUGAUUUGAAGUGUGCGAUUUGAUCGAGAAAAAAACUGAAAAGUAUAUUAAAAAUAAAUAAUAAUUAAAAAAAUCGAAUGGGAUAGGGAUAAGGAAUCGCGGCGAUAAACAAACAGAGGAGGCAAGAUAAUAGAUAUGUAAAACCUUCCCCUUCCACCAACAGGGCAUUCCAACAGCCUUCUCGUGCAAACAGUCGAAAAUGCUAGAAAAGAGAAAGAAUAAAAGUGGAUUCAACCUCAGCCAAACUCGUACCUGAAGAUAGAAGAAAGUGAAUUAUUCACGAGUAUACAUAAUAGUAUUUGCUUCCGUAAUCUUGCCACCAAUGUAUGGAAUCGAUUAAAUUAAUUAAAAUUUUUUAAAAAAUAAACCGAUUUGGUUCGGUGGAACAAAUUGAAACAUGAAGUUGAAAAUGUUUCAUUGAAUAUGACUCCUUGGAAGCUCUUCGAUGCCAGUCUUCACAUCUUCAUAUUCAGGCUCUUCUUGGCUCGAGGAGACCAUGCAAAUUCCUUCAUUAAUUAAUUACGGUGAAGGUAAUCAAUGUAUUCGCUUCUAACUUGUUUCGGGUCUUUUCAGAACAAUUCAAUGGAUCUUCAGAACGUUCCUCCAAUUCUUCGGUAUCUUUUGCAGCAGGUUCCCUCAUGGAUCAUAACUCCCACCAUUCUCAACAGAUGCAGAAGAAGGUUAAAAGGAUAAAAGAAAUAAAGGUUAAAAGGAUAGUAACCAUUGCAGCAGCAUGGCAUGAAAAAGCUUAUCACAGUGUGCAGACAAAUGCCGUGUGCUGGACCCAACACACGGUCUGCUAGGCGUUAUCUGUUCUGCCCACCAAUUCUUACAAGAUCAGCACUUGAGGUUUAUUUGCUUUAUCUUUAUCUUUAUCUUUAUCUAUCUUUAUCAGUUUAACAAUUUUAUUUUUUUAAUUAUAUAAUAAUAUUAUAAAAUUAAACUAAAUAUUAUGAGAUGUUUGAUUGAAACUAAACAACUUUAUAAAAUAAUUCUUGAAUGGAUAAUCUGAAAACACCAAAAAUAAUUCAAGAUUUUUACUGAAACUAGGGCCCGUUAUGGAUGUUGUUGGUUAUUAGGCUAGAUAUGUUAUGUCCAUAACAAAUGAAUCUGAUCUAAAUAUUUAAAAGAAUUAUUAAAAAAAAUAAACAGUGUAUAUAUAUAUAUAUAUAUAUAUAGAUAUAGAGGCCCAUAGAAGAUCAGCCUGAUUAGGUUUCUAGCGUUAUCGUGCGUUAGUUAAAAAUAAAUCUGAUCAAAUACACAAUUUUGUCAACUAACACUCCUCCUUAAGUUAGUGCAUAAAUAUCUAUUAUGCCUAACUUGUCAAUCAUACUCUAAAAAUUCUUAUUUAAUAUUGUGUUAGUGAGGAUAUCAGCUAUAUGACUUGCAGAUUUAACAAACAAAAAACAUAUAAUUUUUUUAUUAUCUAAAUUCUCUUUGAUGAAAUGACGAUCUACUUCAACAUGUUUAGUUCGAUCAUGUUGAACAUGAUUAUGUGUAAUCUGCUUAUUAUCACAUUACAAAUUGAUAGGAUCUGUAUACUUGAUCUCCAAAUCCUUGAAAACACUCUUGAUCCAUAACAACACAUAUUCCCUAAACCAUUUCUUGAAAUUCUACUUCUACACUAGAUCAUGCUACAACUUUCUAUUUUUUACUUCUCUAAGUAAUCAAAUUCCCUUCCACAAAGGUCAGAUAACCAAACAUAUACCUUCUUAGUGUUUGAUCUCCUGCCCAAUCUGUAUCAGUAUAGCCUUUAAUAUUUGAGACACAAUUCUUUGAGUACUAUAAACCUUUGUCAGGCGCACCUUCAAGAUAUCUCAAGAUUAUGUAAACUGCAUCCAUAUGCAUAAAUUGGCUCACAAUACAUAUAAUAUAAAUUAUAUCAAAACUAUUGUGGGUUAGGUAAAUUAACUUACCCACAAGUUUUUGAUACCGACCCAUAUCUAUAGGGACUUGAUCUGGAAAGAUCCCAAGUUGACGAUUCAUUUGUAUUGGUGUUUCAAUAGGUUUGCAAGCUAGCAUCUCAAUCUCACUUAGAAGAUUUAAUACGUAUUUAUAUUGUGAAUGGGAAAUUCCUUGUUUGGACCUUACUACUUCAAUGCCAAGAAAAUACCUUAGUUGUCCCAAAUCUUUCAUUUUGAAUUCUACAAACAAGUACUCUCGUAGUGUCCUCAUUUCUUUAGGAUCAUUACCUAUCAAAAUCAUGUCAUCUGCAUACAUAAUGAAUGUCGUUACCCUUCCAUCUUUAUGUUUUACAAAUAAUGUAUGAUCUAUAUUGCUCUAUUCAUAACCAGCUGCUUUCAUUGCCAAAGUAAACCUCCCAAACCAAGCACGAGGAGAUUGCUUUAAACCAUACAGAGAUCUCUUUAGUUUGCACACUCUGCCUUCGUGUUUGGAACUUUGUUUUAUUCCAGGCAUAAGUUCUAUUUACACCUCUUCUUCUAGAUCACCGUUCAAGAAAGCAUUUUUUACGUUGAAUUGUUGUAGGGGCUAAUCUCAAUUUGCAGCAAUGGAUAUGAGAAUAUAGAUGGUGGUGAUCUUGGUUACUGGUACAAAGGUCUCUUGGUAGUCGAUACCAUAUUUAUGGGCAUACUCUUUGGCCACGAGUCUCGCUUUAUAUCUAUCUAUGCUUCCAUCCGCUUUAAGUUUAACAAUGUAUACCCAUCAACACACAAUCACCUUUUUUUUCUGUUGAUAACACAACAAGUUCCCAAGUGGAGUUCUUUUGUAAGGCUUCCAUCUCUUCAUUCAUGGCCUUUUUUCACCUUGAAUCUGCCAAUACAUCCUACACAUUAUUAGGAAUAUAUACUUUGGAUAAUUGAUUAAUGAUUAGUGCAUAAGAUUCCAAAAGUCCAUGAAAAGAGACAUAGUUAUUGAUAGGAUAUUUAACAUUGGUUUUACUAUACAGCUCGUAUUGUUUCUUUGUAACACCUUUAUUAGGUCUUUGUGAAUACCUAGGAGUGGGUUGAGAUGUAUCCUUAGUGGUGGGAUUAUCUAGGAUAUUUUGGGCAGAAAAAUCUAUGGUUGAUGGUGCGAGUAAGUCACUCAUCACAGUUUCUUCCUUAUUAAGGUUUGUAGCUUCUGUGUCACCAGCACACAAUUCGGUCAUCUCAACUUCUUCCCCAUCAUGGUUUACAACAUCUAUGUCACCAACAUAAUCCCCACAAAGAUCACUGUCCAAUGAUAAAUUCCUCUUGUUUGGAAUAGUUUAAGUAUUAGUGAACGAAGUAGCAUUAUACUCGUUAUUAUUCAUCCUUUUUUUCAAAUGCCACUAGCUACAUAAAAACACCAUCAUCCUCACUUUUAUCAAAAACAAUAUUGCAAAGCUCACCUUUUUCAUACACAUUCCCCCCUGAAGAGGAGAGCCUAAGUCGCUUGUUAAAUAAUAAGGAUUCAUUUCACGAAAGGAGACAUCAAGAGAUAUAUGUAGCUUAUGAGUUUGAGGGCAGUAACAUCUGUAUCCUUUCUGAAAAUUAGAGUAACUAACAAAUACACAAUAUUGUACAACCAAAGGUUUUAGGUUCGAAGUUUGGUUGAUGGGGUGUGUAAAAGAAGGUUUGUAAUUUUUAGUAUGGGGUCUGGAAAUCAAUCACCCAGGAAGGCACUAUAUUGAUAAUGUAGACAGUAGACUUAAUAGCCUCUCCAUAAUAGAAGGGAGGCAUAUUCAUUCCAAAAAAAGAUGCACGUACCACCUCCAUGAUCUGCCUAUUUUUCCUCUUCGCAAAUCCAUUUUAUUGAGGUGUGCAGGUGCAAGAAGUAUGAUGUCUAAUUCCCUGUUUUCGAAGAUAAUCACCAAGCAAGUUCUCAAGAAAUUCCAUGGAAUUGUCAUAUUGCCAUACCUAAAUCUAUUUGUGAAAUUGAGUUUUCACCAUGUUGUAAAAUUCCUAAAAAGUAGUACUUGCAUCACUUAUCUUAUGUAAUAAGGAUACUCACGUCAUACGAGUGCAUUCAUCAAUAAAGGUAAUAAAAUAACGAGUUUUAGCCAUAAAUGGGAUGACUAUAAAUCCCCAAGUAUCAAAGUGAAUAACCAUAAGGGUUCAGAGCUUUUGUUGAAAGAGGGAAAAUAUGGUUUACUAUGGCUCUUUACCAAUUCACAAAUGUCACACUGAAAAUCCAAAAUAUGCAAUUCUGUAAACAAAUUAGGUUUUAAUUUCUUAAGGUAACUAAAGGAAAGAUGCCCUAGUCUCUUAUGCUAGAGCCACACCUUAAACAGCUUCCUAUCACCCAUCAUCACAAAACAUGCCUUAAUGUACUGCCAUAUGCUAGUUGUUGUCAAUUUCAAGUAGUAGACACCACAACCAAGAGUCUUUCGGGUCAAAAUAUCUAGAAAAACACAAUAAAAAGGCAAAAAAGUUAUAGUGCAAUUUAGUACUAAAGUGAUUUGGCUUACAGAUAACAAAUUCCAUUCAAGACUAGGAACAACCAAUACUAUAUCAAAAGUUAUGGCAGUAGUUAGAGCAAUGGAGCCCUUUCUUGUAAUAGGGGAGAUAUCAUCAUUGAUUGUAGAUAUGACUUGUUAGGAUGAUGAGCGAAGAUUUUGUAAUUUACUAGAGUCUCUAAUCAUAUAAUCGGAUGUACUAGUAUCAAUAAUCCAACUAUUAUCCAUAGUAAUAGCAGAAAGAACACUAGCCUUACCAACACUACCUGGCUGAGUUAAAUUAGGAGGAGGCAUUGAAGUCCCCUCCUGAAUUAGAAGGCUUUCACCUGAUUUAGCUAUUGCAGCUUUCCUAGUAAUGUUCUUUCAUGGUUUUUUUUGAAAAAUCCCACCAGGAUAUCUAAUAAGCUCAUAGCAAUGCAACGUUGAAUGGCUAGAUUCACCACAGUGGGUACAAACAUAGUUAUUUGGCUUUCAUUAACCUUGACUAUUUUUUUCUUUGGUAGAACUAGAACCUAUCCCUCGCUGGUUUCGGUUAACUAUCAUGACUGUAUUUUUAGAGACCGGUCGAGAAACUCCAAUAACUUGUCGAUGUUGUGAGUCUCUUCUCCCACAUGCGUAGGCUGCUUCCAGGUCCAGUUUUGGUUCCUUUCCAAGAAUAUCCCCACGGAUUUGAUCAUUUUCAGAAUCAAGACCGCUUAAAAAAAAUGUACUCACAAUCUCAUCAGCACCGCAUGAAGUUGUACAAUCCCUUCAAUAGAUUCUUAUUUGGAUGUGCUGCAAUAUCGAUUUCUGAAAGAUUGCAACAAGUUCAUUAUAAUAUAUGGGUAAAGGCCUACCAUUUUGAGUGGUUGAAAAGGACUUGUAAUUCAUUUCGACCAAUUGUGUUUCAUCAAAUCCAUUGUAGAAUCUCUGCAUCUAGUGGGGGCUCAUUGAUUCGAUGAGCCAGCUCUUUACUUUAUGAUUUUCGAUAAUCCAUGUAUCAUAGUUCGGAUCGUUAGGUGCAAGUUUCACUGUUGUCCCAAUUAGAUACCCAACCUUGUUGCGGGUCCCAAUAUGCAUCUCUAUCAACUGCAGCCAUAACAUAUAGUUACCAUAUACUGACGGGAAACUUGUUGAAUGAUAAUUGGGUUUGACAAAGGAUUGUGUGGAGUGGCUGGAACAAUUGGAUUUCAUUCUUGUUCUGCUAUUGUGAUUUUGUUUGUAGGAGGAAGUCCCUGGAAUACAAAGGUCAAGGGAGAAUGCAGGGAAGAAUAGUUAAAAAAAAAAAAAAAGUUUUUCAAGCCUGAGCUCUGAUAUCAUGUUGAUUACGACAUUCAACCGAAGCUUUUCAUUCUGUAAAUAUUUCUGCGCGCUACAAUGUAUUCAUCUUUUCAGGAAAUAUAUAUAUAAAGGAAGUAAAACGUCCUAGUAUGCCUAAACUCCUAUUCAGGGUAAGACUAUCUGUACAAGGAAACAACUACAAUCUUGGAAUCCAUACGUCUCGACAGCUAAUACACAAUCUUGCCAGCUACCACUAUCAAAAUGGUAGACCCGUGAUAUUUGCUGGAGAGAAACAAUGAGGCCCUUCUUGGCUCUCUCCAAUCUAUGCCCGAAGGUCGAUGUGCAUGUGAUGUGUCUUCCCACAUGAUGAUCCUGACAGAGCAAGGCCUAACACUUUUCCAGUGUCCUAAAUAGUUUGAUUAACGUGUCUUCCCAAUUUUUAUUUUUUUUAAAAAAAAACAAUAAUAAUAAUCAAAAUAUUAACUGAAAAGAGGACACAAAAUGCGUGUUGCUUGAGAUCUGGUGGUUAAAAGCGUGGCAGUCUAUUAUUUAUGAGAAACUGUUUUAAAUCAUAGAAAUUAUAACAACAUUUUCUGGCGUUAUCGUGCGAUAUCGAAAAGAUACGCGCGAAGAGAUCUACAAAGCUCGAGCGGAAGACUUGAUGACUUUGUAGAUUCAUUUAUACAGAUCCGUAUAAAUGAACGGUAUUGUUAAGAGCCGAUGUUAUUGUAAACACAACCUUUCACUAUCAAUAGAGAGGCGGAAGUCAGUCAAUACGGGUGUCUGCAACUAUGGAUUCGAUCAAGACUUUGGCCCCGAGCCGCCGUGUUUCCAAGUCCAAACACAGGAAACAAUAUAAGGUACGAACCAAAUCUAGUUAUAUUUCUAUGUUUUUCUUAUAAAGAUUAUUCUCAAUGCUUGUUUCUUGACUUGUUGUUGCUAUAUAUCAUGUCAUUAUCCCCAGAAAUUAAAAAUUAUUAUUUUUCUUAUACAUGUUAAGAAGAACAGAGAGAGGAGGGAAACUAUAGAACGAUUGAAAACAGAUAUGAUCGAGAUCGGUGAGGGACAACAACGCAUCAGAGAAGGGCAGCGAGAAAUAAGACAAAAGUUUGAAGAGAUAGGAUCUGAAUGCCGCAGCCUCAAAGAGGAGACGAUGAACAUUGCCAAGCAGAGUGAUUACAACCAAGUCAGGAUCAACCUAAUGCUUAGCAUCUUGAAAGCCCGUGAAGACAACAACUUUGCCCAUGCUGAUCACCUCACUGGGCUCCUCCGGUUGGUUAAAUUCCCUUCGCCAUUUCUUUUCUUAAUUCUUGGGAUAUUGGAUUCGAUAAUUAAUCUUGCUAAUGCUAGCUAUUACAAGGAGGGAAACAUAAGCUAACGAACUCAAAAUAAAAGAAUCAAAAUGCACUGUUGAUAAGUAAUCUUCUCUCAAUCAUUGUGUUUCCUAUUCGUUGUGUUGCCAGCGAGGAAAUGGAAAAGCAGGAACAAGGAAAGGCAGGCCUGGUUGGCUGACCAAUGAUCAUGGAAAACAAGGAGCAGUUUGCCUUUGCAGUGACUCCUGAUCGUCUUUUCUUAUUAAAAUGAAAUCAUCAGUCCUAAAUCGAGAUAUGUAUUGACAUUAGUCUUCCCUUGAUAUCCUUCUUCCUUUGAUGAAGUAUUCAUUUGAUUAAGGAUUUGCGUUCUGUGAUCCUAGUUGAAUGUUCUGAGUUAUAGUAUAUAUACUAGGUGAAUUGCCGGGCGAUGCCGCCGGUUGUUAUAUAAACGGUAUAAGCAUUCGGUUGAGUAUAACCUGAGGUAAUCGAAGAAGAAGAAGAUAGGCAGACAUAAUUAAACAAAAUGAAAAAAAAUACCAGAACUAUUGAGGUUAAACAAUGCAACCACAUGCUCUCUGUUAGAGAAACACAAAGUCUUAACUAGCCUGUUUAGCUUUGCAGUAUUCGGUUGUUUUUUUUAUUUGGAUUUUUAAAAUUUAUUUUUUAUAUUAAUAUAUUAAUUUAAAAAUAAAAAAAAAUUAUUACAAAAAUUAUUUUUUUAGAAAACAACAGUGUGGCAUCAAUAACAAACAGUCUCGAAAAGUCUCAAAUAUAAAGCCACGUGUGCAUAAUAAAUUGUAAUUAAUUUGGAAUUUAUUUUCUAAAUAUUACUAAUUUAAAUGUUAUAAAUCUCAAAGUAAUUUAUCUGAUUUUUAAUUUUAUAGUUUUGAAAAAUUAAUCAAAAUAUAAAUAAGUUGGUCUAGACAUUUAUGAUUAUAUAUAAAAAAAAACAAGAAGAAAAGAAAAAAUUAAAGAGCUCCAGACUUUUUGACCGUGCAUUCUCAUUUCACUUUGAAUUCCAGUGAAAUUAUUAUUUUCCUUUGGAAAAAAGAACUUGUUUAACUUUGUCUCAGGUGUAGAGAGGUGUUUUCAAUGGGAUUUAUUAGCUAUCAUUAUUUUUAAUAGGGAGAAGUUAGUUUGUUUGCGUUUUAAAUAAAGUGUAAUGAUUUAAACACUUUUAAAAGUAAAGAAAAAAAACUAGUAGAAAUAGUUUUAUGGUUUUAUAGUAAAAGAAUCAUACUAUCAUUAAAAAAAUAUAUUAUAAAACUUGCAUUUAAAAAUAUUUAGGUCUUUUCAUCUUUUCAACACGGUUAUUUUGUAAUUAUAUAUUUGGAUUAAAAACAAUUAAAUCUUUAAUCAUAUAUAAAAAAAAAAUUAAAUGGUUGAUGUGUGUCUCACAUGCGUUAAUAAGCGGAAAGUGCUUAUGCUCUUCGGGUUAUAUGUGUCUACCCUAUCAAUAGUUAAAAGUUUGUGUCAAUGACAAUGUUUGAAACGGUGGGUCAUCCUCUUUGUAGUGGUGGGAUGCUUGUUCAUGAAUGAAUUGCGGUUGAACUUCUUAUAAACAUUUUUUUUUCUCGCUCUCUCCUAGUUUAGAAAUUGACACCAACUCUUUUAAAAAUCUAUUAUCUAUUGUGUUCUUUAAUUUGUGUUUUUAUUAUUUUUUAUCCUUAUUUUAUUUAUUUUCAAUUGUUUUUACUUUUAAUGCAUUUUAAUCUUUAAUUGUUUUGCAAUUUCAUCCAUAUGAAUUUUAUUUUAUUUAAUUUUUAUAUCAAAUUUGAUUUUUUUUUUGUUUUUAUACUUUUCUAGAUUUAUUUUUCAAUUUUACCUCUCAUUAUUUUAUUUUUGUAUUCAAUUUUAAUCCUUAUUUUUUAUUGCUAUUUUUUGUUAUUUUCUUAAUUUUUUUCAUUUUUAAUUUUAGUCCCUCAUUGUUUGUUUGUUUGUUUCAUUUAGCUUUUAUGCUAGAUUUAGUCAUUGUUGUUUUGAUUGUUAUUUAUUUAGGCUUUUAAUUUUGGAUAAUUAAUGAUUUUGCUUAGUGAUUUUUUAUUGUUUUUUUUAUGAGGUAAUCUCGAUUUUAUGAACCAGGUCAUCAUUUUCGAGGAUUAAUCUGAUUUAACUUUUAUCUUUUCAUUUCUUAAAAAAAAAAAACCAAAAUGAUUAUUUUUUAAUUUCAUCAUUUUAUUUUAGGUUAUCAGGUCUAGAGUGUUUUUUUUUUUUUGCUUUCCUUUAUGUGGUGUUAUUCCGGUGUUAUAUCUUAGGUUAAGUUUUUUUCGAGUUAACCCAGGUUCAUUCAAGUUUUUUUUUUUUUGAAUCUUUUUCAAUUUAGUUUUUCCGAAUUUAAUCUCUUAAUAUUAAGUCAUUGAGUCUUGAAUUUUUGUUUUUCAAUGAAUUUAACAUGUUCUCAAAUCUUGAAUCUCAAAAUUUUCUUUUUUCUAUUUUUUAUAUUUUUUGAAAUUAAUUUUUUUAUCUCAUUAUUUAAAGUUAUGUUAUUAGACAUUCAAUUUUGUAAUAUUUUUUAUUUUUUUAUUGUAAAUUAUCAUGGAUAGUUAGUUAGUCAAAUUAACUUAGGUUAACAAAGUUUUUUUUUAAUAUUUUUUAUUUCACUAUCAUCUCGAGGUCAUUGUUUUUAAAAAAUUAUUUUUUUUAAUCUUGAUCUGGGUCGCAUGGUAGUCCAACUAAUCUGAGUUAAGUUAAAGUUUUUCUCAAUGUUUUUAUAAAUAAUUUGUUUUUUAAUUUUACCAGGCUCACAACAGUGUAGCGUAAAACUAAAAGUUGUAUCAUAAGAAGGUUGAGGACAUUUGUAGGUCGGCUAAUGCUGGCCAUAAAUAGCCAUGUAUGUGAAGCUAUGCAGGUGUGCUAGUGGACACAAAAACACUUAUGCAGAAAAGUGUGCUGAAUGUUCUGGUAGUUCCAAAAAGAAUCACAUAAAUAGUUGUGAAAUUUAAUAUUUUAAAGUUGUUUUAUGGGAAACAUGAUAUUUCAAAAAUAUAUUUGUUAAAUGACUUCACAAUUUACGAUGACGAGAGAAAAAUAAAAUAAAUACUUUAAUUAUACAUCAAAUCUAUCAUCAAAAUAACUCGACGAUGUGAAUCUAAUAAAAUUAAAGAAGUUCACCAAGUAGAUCACACUCAUUGAAGCUCUAAUUAUAAUAUCACUAGUAGCAUUAUAAAGUUCUGGACAAAAUAAAUCAAAUAUAAACAAUAAAGAUAAUCAAUGAUAAUGAUAAUUGAAGUGGGUCAUAUAUAAUAGGCGGAAAACAUGGUGAAAUCUAGGGUUAAGAUUAAAAAAGAUGAUGGAAGGGAAGAUGAAGGUGAAGAUGGAGAACAAUAAUCAGAUUAGCGAGAAGAACAGGUAUCAAAAUUCUGGAUGGAGAAGUUCCAGUUUUCCAGACUGCAACAGUAGAAAUGAUAAGAACACCUGCUAAGAAGGCCAGUAAUCUGUCGUGAAUGAAGAAAUUCAUGGAUGGUAGCAGCGAGAUUUAGCAUGAAGCAUUUAACUUGUUUUCUCUAUUGUAAUUCAUGUCGCUAGAGGUAAUAGAAUUGCACUUGUCUUGCCAGCAUUUAUAGAGAUAUGAAUCUGUUGAAAGGGAAAUUAAAUCGUAGAGUCAACCUUGUUGCGGAUUCCAAAGGGAAACCAUGAUGGUUUAACAGUUAAGCUUUGGUCAUCAAUGCAAUUGGUUCAGGUUGGGGUUUGGAAGAGGUUCGGUGAACUGCGGCGGCCGGAGCCUAAUCUGAUUAGGAGUGGGUACCCUAGGUUGGUUCGGUGGAACAAAUUGAAACUGGAAGUUGAGAAUGUUUCGUUGGUUCUAGACUCGGAUAAAGAGAGUUUUAGCUCUGGAAAACUGGGAUUUCCUCAAGUUUUAUGGAGAAAAAGAAAGGUGGGCCGGCGACUGUUGGUUCUAGUUUGAAAGACGAUUUAAUGGCAUUUGCUCGAGGCGUCAACGCUGUGUGGAGUUGGCUGUUCAGAACAGUAUUUACCUCAUAGGGUUGCAAUGCAAUUCGGAACCGACGAAGAUCUUUCAGGGUUGUGUUGGUCAAUGCUCUAAUUAACAGACCUGAGAUUGCAGAGAGCUUAAAGCUUUUGUUGAGAGCUUGAGCAGAUGAUCACACGAAUAAAAACAGCAAGAUUAAGACAAAAAUUGUUAACCUAGCUAGCCUUCUUCGUGAGAACGAUUUGCUUGAUUUUAUUUUAUUUGAAUUCAUGGCUUCUCUUCUCCUGUUGGCUAUGCUACUAACAUGGCAGGAGGCAUUGCAGCAGGUCCUAGAUGGAUAACUCCCGCCAUUAACAACAGAUGCAGAACAAGGUUAAAAGGAUAAUAGAAAUAAAUAUAUUCAUAAAGUAACCAUGCACUAUGGCAUGAAGUUAUUAUCACAGUGUGCAGACAAAUGCCGUGUGCUGCUGUACCCAACGCAGAGCCUACUAGGCGUUAUCUGUUCUGCCCACCCAAUCCUGACUAGAUAAGCACUUGAGAGUUUUUUUUCUUAUUUUAUGAAGUUGAUUUGAAGUGUUGAUUUGAUAUAAAAAUUUUAAGGAGAGAUAUUUUCCUUCAAAUAUUAAGACCAAUUUGAAAUUUGUAGAUUAACUUACAAAUUUUUAAUAAUUUUUAUUAAAAAUUAUCUUUUAUUUAUUUAUAUAAUAGUUUAAAUAAAAGCAAUAGAAACUAGUAGAAUUCAGCAUUAAUUAAAUUGAUUUAGAUUUAGAUAACUUUAUAAAUAUCAAAUCCAAAUAAAUUAUAACUAAUUUAAAAUCAAUCAAAUAUUAAAAGAAUUUUUUAAUAUUAAAACAAUGAUAUAUUAAAUCAAUCUAAAACUUUACACUUUAAUUUGUAAAACCCGUAACUUGAACCAUGAACUCCACUUGAAAAAUUAAAAAAAAUUAAAUUAUUAUGAUCAUCAAGCACAAACAACAAUAAUAAUUCAGGAUUUUUACUGAAAGUAGAAUCCAUCAUACAUGUUGUUGAUUAUUGAGUUAUAAUCGGUCCGUACAUGAAAAGGAAUGAAUUUAGAGUUAUUAAACUCUGUCGACCGGUGGAUGGACUGAUCUGGGUUUGUUAAAAGACCAACCGGUGCAAUGAUCCGGCAAAACCCAGUCAACCUGUAAGAUUCCACAUCGGGGGGUGAGGGGUGUGUUGCUGGCCUUAUAAGUGGUACUGGUUGCCGACUUGUUAUACGCGUUUUGGGACGUCAGGCUUAGAAUUAGGCUCGCGUCACCAGGAACAAAACCGUGAGGGCGGUAAGGCCUAAAGCGGACAAUAUAUGACAAGUUGGGCCGGGCCGUUACACGACCCGUGACCCAGAUAAAACCCGAAUUUUUUUUUUUAAAAUGUGGUUUUUCUUCUACACUCCCUUUUUUAUUUUUAUUUUAGUUGGUUAUUAACACUUUUUAAAGUUCACUAUAUAAAUACUAGAAAUAUAUAUUUUUUUUUCAAUGUGGGAUUGAAACCCUUUAGAAUAUACUUUAUGUUUCCAAGAAAAAAGUUAUUUUUUUAAUGUAAGAUUUCAAGCCCUUUCAUAUAUAUACUUUAUGAUCAUAAGAAAAAAGUUGUGUUUUUUUAAAGUGAGAUAUAAAACCCUUUAGUACAUAUACUCUAUGUUCCUAAGAAAAAAGUUUUUUCAAUAUGUGAUUUGAAGCCUUUUCGUAUAUAUACUCUAUAUUCACAAGAAAAAUAUUAUGUUUUUUCAAUGCGGGAUAAUAAGUUUUUUGGUUUAAAUAUUUCAACUUAAAAGGAUGACAUAAUAUAUUUUCAAUGUGAGAUUUGAAACUCUUUAAUAUAUAUAUAUAUACACACCUAUGUUUCCAAAAAAAAAAUUAUUUUUUUAAUGUGGGAUUUGAAGUCUUUUCAUAUAUAUAUCAUAUCGUCACAAAAAAAAAUUAUAUGUUUUUUAAUGUAAGCUUUAAAAAUUUUAUUAUACUUUACAAUCUUCCAAAAAAAAAAAAGUUUUGGAUUAAUCCAAUUAACCUGUCUACCUUUGUAGCUGAUUUAAUAACUUUGGGAUGUAAGGAAUAUCUAAAAUAGUCUUAGAACAACUCACAUUUGUUUGCUAUCGAUUUGAAAAGUGAAAGUUGCUCUCUCGUAAUGUCUGCUUUUAAAAUCAAAAGAAUCUAACAUUAAAUGCGGGGUAUUGUUGCCGUUGCAUAUUUUUAUUUUCUGUUUUAUAAAACUAAAAACAGUUUUUUUCAUAAUUUUCAGGUUUUUUCAUUUUGUUUUAAUGACCCCAGUUAACGUGUUUGAGCGUAAUUGUGUUUGAUUUUGAAAAUUUUUUUUACUCAGAAAGUAUGUUAUUUUUAAAAAAAUUAUUUUUAAAAUCAACACAUCAAAAUGAUUUGAAAACAUUAAAAACAUAUUAAUUUAAAAAAAAAAUUAAAUUUUUAAAAAUACUUAUACAGUGCCAAACAUGUUAUCACCACCUUUAUUUUCCCAUAUUUAGAAGUUAUUUAAAAAACAGAAACCAAAGAUACAAAACGGCAACCAUGACCAUGCCAGGGCUAAACAAAAGCUCUACAAGACCAAUCCACGAGAGUUAAACUCCAUUUAAUCAAGAUUUGAAUGUGCUGGGCAAUGAAAGCCCACGAUUAUAUAAAAUAAUAAAAAAAAAAAAAUCAAAGAGUGGAAUGCUUGACUAUAACUGUAAAACCAAGCCUAGUCCAAUAAAUCCAUGUAAAAAUCCGAUAAUUCAGAACCUAGAUUAAUUUGCUCAAUGAUCAUGAUUUAUGACCUAAUCAAUUUAAUUACAUUAAAGCUGAACAUGAUUUAGUCAAGAUUUAUCCUAGUUAAAAGAAAAAAAAAUUCCAUAAAAUCUUAACCUGAGAAUCGAGGUCAUUUUCUUCGAGCAAGCAACGAAUCUCAAACAAAAAAAAAAAAUACACUAGGUGAAAUCAUCAGCCCUCAACCUAGAUAUGUGUUGGAAUUCGUCUUCCCUUAAUAUCCUUCUUCCUUUGAUGAAGUUUUCAUUUGAUUAAGGAUUUGUGUUCUCUGUUCCAAGUUGAAUGUUUUGAGUGACAAUACAUACUAGGUGAAUUGCCAGGUGAUGCCGCCGGUUGUUAUAUAAACACGAUGUAAGCAUUCGGUUGAGUAUAACCGGCGGUACUCGAAGAAGAAGACACGCAGACAAAUUAAACAAAAUGAAAAAAAUAAUACCAGAAGUAUUGAGGUUAAACAAUGCAACCACGUGAUUUAUGUUAGAGAAACGUAAAGUGUUAACUAGCUUGUUUAGAUUUGCAGUAUUCGGUUGUUUUUUUUUAUUUUUAUUUAAUUUAUUUUUAAUAUUAAUUAUUAAUUUUAAAAUAAAAAAAUUAAUUAAAAAAUCAUUUUUUUUACUAAAAAAUAGUGUGGCUUCAAUAACAAACAGUUUGGAAAAGUCUCAAAUACAAAGCCACACGUGCAUAACAAAUCGUAAUUAACUUGAAGGUGUCAAGAUCUGAACUCUGAGCUUUGGGAGGUUAGUAGGAAUGUCGAGGGCAUUUGGAGGCAGAAAUCCCGCCAAAACUGGUGCAAAAUGGGGAUAAAAACACUCGGUUCUUCCAUCUUUCGACAAGCUUGAGGAAUGGUCGGAACCACAUUAGCAAGAUUGAGCAGAAUGGCAGAUUUUUUAGACUCUCCCAAAUGACAUCAAAGAGGGGUGCUGUCAACUUCUUCUCAAGUCUGUUUGCCAAGCCACAAUGAAGAGAAUUGAAAUGGGAGACUCAAGGUUUCUCUAAAUUUCAGAGAAAGUUCAGUUUGGUUAGAAAGACUACCUUCAUUGGAGGAAGUGAAGCAAGCCGUAUGGGAUUGUGAUGGUUCAAAAGCCCCGGUCCUGACGGGUUCACCUUCUCCUUCUAUAAAAAGGAAUGGAAUCUUAUCAGCCCUGACAUCUUUGUGAUGGUCACAGAAUUUUUCAGAACAGGUAAAUUACCAAAGGGGAUCGGCUCGUCCUUCGUGACUUUGAUCCAAAGACCAAGAGGCCGAGCACUUUCUCCCAAUUUCGACCAAUUAGUUUGAUUCAUGGGUUAUAUAAAAUAGUGGCAAAGCUCUUGUCCACUAGGCUCCGAAGCAUUCUACCAGAUGUGAUAAGUGUAAACCAGUCUGCUUUCAUUGCGGGCGUCAGAUUCUAGAUGGGUUCAUGAUAGCAAACGAGGUUGUCCAUAGUAUUCGUAGCAAAAGGACCACGGGUUUUUGCUAAAGGUAGAUUUUCAUAAAGCCUUCGACUCGAUUUUAUGGGAGCAUAUCGAUUCUACCAUGGGUUAUAUGGGUUUUGGAUCUCACUGGAGGAAACUGAUCUUUGAAUGCAUGUCCACUUCUAAAUUGGCCAUCCUGAUUAAUGGCUCACCAAGCAGAGAAUUCAGUAUGGAGAGGGGUCUCAGGCAAGGGGACCCCCUCUCUCCUUUCCUUUUUGACAUAGCAGUUCAGGGGUAACAGUUCUAUUCAACAGGGCAUCAGAUUCAGGUUACUUUAAAGGUUUGCAGACUUCGCAAGGACAUCACAUAACCCAUUUGCAAUAUGCAGAUGACACUCUUAUUUUCCUGCCAAUGAUUAUACCUCUCUACUGCAUGUCAAGAGGAUCCUCCGCUGGUUUGAGAUCAUUUCAGGACUGAAAGUUAAUUUCUAUAAAAGCUCACUUAUAGGAAUUAAUUUGGAUAACGAAUACACUUCAGGUCUGGCUAACACAAUUUUGUCGCAGUGACUCCUUUCCCAGUCAGAUACCUUGGGUUGCCUCUUGGUGCUAACCCAAAUAGGCUCUCCACUUGGAAACCGGUAUUGUCCACAAUCAGAGCAAAGUUAAGCAAAUGGAAAGGGAAGUUUUUGAGCAUGGCCGGAAGGAUAUGUCUUAUUAAAUCUGUCUUAAACUCUCUACCUCUAUACUAUAUGUCGGUCUUUACUAUGCCAAAGGGCAUUGCAAAAGCAAUAUCCUCAAUCACCGUUUUUUCUCUGGAAGGGCUCCUCAAAUUCACAUGGUAUUUGUAAGGUUGCUUGGCAUAAGGUAAUUAAGAGUAAGCCACUUGGAGGUCUCGGGCUUGGUUCUAUUCACAGUAAAAAUCUGGCUCUGAUGUUUAAAUGGCUUUGGAACCUUGACAAAGGAGUGGCAGGAGGUUGGCAAGAACUCAUCUUACGAAAGUACCGGCCACAUUUUACAAAUGGCCUUCCUGUGUUUGCAGGUUCUUUAUCUCCAACUUGGCGUGGCAUGGUAUCUGCAAUUUCCUUAAAUCACAGCAUAGCCGCUCCCAUCCAAUCCAAUGUUGGGUUUAAGGUGGGUGAUGGGAGAAACAUCAGGUUUUGGUCUGAUUCUUGGCUAGGCUAUGCAGCCCCUCUCCAGUUCAUGUUCCCUAGGCUCUACAACCUCUCCCUGCAGCAAUCUUUAAGCGUUGCAGAAGUUCAUAACCCAACAGAUAACUCAAUCAAUCUUUCUUGGAGAAGACCCCUUCGAUCCCGAGAACUCUGCAUGUGUGAAAGCUUGAUAGCAGAAGUGGAACGUGGCCUAGUCUUCUCUGAUGGUGAAGACAACAAGAUUUGGAAACACCAUAGCUCCAACAAUUACACAGUCUCCUCUGGGUGCCAUCUCUUUGACGGUUUAAAUGUUUCAGGACAUCUUCACUCCCCUGCUUUGCUUUGGAAAGGGUUUGCGCCUCCAAAAAUAGAUGUGUUCAUAUGGCUUCUUUUCAAUGGCAGUGUCUGCACAAAGGGUUUCUUAGCUGAGAGGAGAAUCAUCAAUUAUGAGGAAGCUCUUUGUCCUUUCUGCUGCAAGGAGAUUGAGACUAUACAUCAUCUCUUCCAUCUUUGUCCAAAAUCAUGGUCUCUUUGGGGCAGACUAUUUAGUUGGUUUGGGUGUGUAGGUUGUCUGCCAAAAGACCAUAUGAUAACCUUCAGGAAUGGUCCAACAUGGUAAAAAGGAAAAUUUCAGCGUCAGGCAAUUACCCUUCUCUGUAAAGGAUUAUACUGGUCAAUUUGGAUAGCGCGCAACCACAUGAUCUUUGACAACAAAACUCCAGACUGGGAUGUGAUUUUUGACCUCACCUUUCAUCAGUUAGCCUUUUGGUUGAAGUCCUUUGUUAAAAAUUUCAGCUAUAUAAGCUCUGAUCUUUAUAGGAAUCCUGAAUGUAUCAUGAACUGGACUAACUAGUCAGGUCUAUAGAUUCCUUGUUUUCUUAAUGUUUUUUUAAUUCCCCAUGUAAUCUUCCUUAGCAGCCCUCAUCUCUUUAAUGGGGACGUAUUAUUUAUAAUAUUCUCGAUUACUAUAUAUAUAAAAAAAACUUGAAGGUGUCACCCAAUUAAUUAGAUUUUUAGUUUGCUUUCGAGAUAUUAGUAGUUCGAGUUCUGUAAAUCUUAAAAUUACUAGAGGUUUAUUUGGUUGUUACCUUCAGAGCCUGAACCUCUAGAAAUUAGUCGAGUUACACGUAAACUGACUUUUAUUUUUAAUUUAGUCUCUCAUUGUUUUUUUCAUUUAACUUUUAUGCUAGAUUUAGUCAUUGUUGUUUCGAUUGCUAUUUAUUUUAUUUUUAAAUUUUGGAUGAUUAAGGAUUAUGCUUAGUGAUUUUUUAUUAUUUGCCUUUAAUGAUAUAAUCUCGAUCUAAUGAACCGGGUUACUAUUUCGAGGAUUAAUUCGAUUUCACUUUGGUUUUUUAUUUAUUUUUUUAAACAAAAUAAUUACUUUUUAAUUUCAUCAUUUGAUUUUAGGUUAUUAGGUCUAAAUUUUUUUUUUCUCCUUUAUGUGGUGUUAUUCUGGUGUUAUAUCUUAGGUUGAGUGUUUUUCGAGAUAACUCAGGUUUUUUUUAAUUUAGUUUAUUUAGUUUAUUUUAUUUAAUUUUUUAAUAUUAAAUUAUUGAACCUUAAAAUUUAUAUUUUGUUUUGUAUUUUUUUUAUAAGUUUAACAUGAUCUUAAUGUCGUUGUUUAUUUUUUAAAUUAAUUUUUUUAAUCUGGAACUCCCAUCAUGGGUCGCAUGGUAGUCCAACUAAUCUGAGUUAAGUUAAAGUUUUUUCAAAUUUUUUUUUUUUACCAGUCGCACUGUGUAGCGUAAAACUAAAAGUUGUAUCAGAAGAAAUGUGUAGGACAUGUGUAGGUCGGCUAAUGCUGGCCAUAAAUAGCCAUGUCUGUGAAGCUAUGCAGGUGUGCUAGUGGAGACAGAAACACUUAUGCAGAAAAGUGUGACGUAUGUUCCGGUAGUUCCAAAAAGAAUCAGAUAAAUAGUUGAGAAAUUUAAUAUUUUAAAGUUGUUUUAUGGGAAACAUGAUAUUUCAAAAAUAUAUUUGUUAAAUGACUUCACAAUUUACGAUGACGAGAGAAAAAUAAAAUAAAUACUUUAAUUAUACAACAAAUCUAUCAUAAAAAAAACUCGACCAUGUGAAUCAAAUAAAAUUAAAGAAGUUCACCAAGUAGAUCACACUCAUUGAAGCUCUAAUUAUAAUAUCACUAGCAGCAUUAUAAAGUUCUGGACAAAAUAAAUCAAAUAUAAACAAUAAAGAUAAUCAAUGAUAAUGAUAAUUGAAAUGGGUCAUAUAUAAUAGGCGGAAAACAUGGUGAAAUCUAGGGUUAAGAUUAAAAAAGAUGAUGGAAGGGAAGAUGAAGGUGAAGAUGAAGAACAAUAAUCAGAUUAGCGAGAAGAACAGGUAUCAAAAUUCUGGAUGGAGAAGUUCCAGUUUUCCAGACUGCAACAGUAGAAAUGAUAAGAACACCUGCUAAGAAGGCCAGUAAUCUGUCGUGAAUGAAGAAAUUCAUGGAUGGUAGCAGCGAGAUUUAGCAUGAAGCAUUUAACUUGUUUUCUCUAUUGUAAUUCAUGUCGCUAGAGGUAAUAGAAUUGCACUUGUCUUGCCAGCAUUUAUAGAGAUAUGAAUCUGUUGAAAGGGAAAUUAAAUCGUAGAGUCAACCUUGUUGCGGAUUCCAAAGGGAAACCAUGAUGGUUUAACAGUUAAGCUUUGGUCAUCAAUGCAAUUGGUUCAGGUUGGGGUUUGGAAGAGGUUCGGUGAACUGCGGCGGCCGGAGCCUAAUCUGAUUAGGAGUGGGUACCCUAGGUUGGUUCGGUGGAACAAAUUGAAACUGGAAGUUGAGAAUGUUUCGUUGGUUCUAGACUCGGAUAAAGAGAGUUUUAGCUCUGGAAAACUGGGAUUUCCUCAAGUUUUAUGGAGAAAAAGAAAGGUGGGCCGGCGACUGUUGGUUCUAGUUUGAAAGACGAUUUAAUGGCAUUUGCUCGAGGCGUCAACGCUGUGUGGAGUUGGCUGUUCAGAACAGUAUUUACCUCAUAGGGUUGCAAUGCAAUUCGGAACCGACGAAGAUCUUUCAGGGUUGUGUUGGUCAAUGCUCUAAUUAACAGACCUACGAUUGCAUAGAGCUUAAAGCUUUUCUUGAGCAGAUGGUCACACGAAUAAAAACAGCAAGAUUAAGACAAAAAUUGUUCACCUAGCUAGCCUUCUUCGUGAGAACGAUUUGCUUGAUUUUAUUUUAUUUGAAUUCAUGGCUUCUCUUCUCCUGUUGGCAUUGCAGCAGGUUCCUAUAUGGAUAACUCCCGCCAUUGACAACAGAUGCAGAACAAGGUUAAAAGGAUAAAAGAAAUAAAUAUAUUCAUAUAGUAACCAUGCACUAUGGCAUGAAGUUAUUAGCAUUUAUCACAGUGUGCAGACAAAUGCCGUGUGCUGCUGGACCCAAUGCAGAGUCUACUAGGCGUUAUCUGUUCUGCCCAUCCAAUCCUUACCAGAUAAGCACUUGAGAGUUUUUUUUUUUAUUCUAUCCCGUUGAUUUGAAGUGUUGUUUUGAUAUAAAUUUUUUAAGGAAGAGAUAUUUUUCUUUAAUAUUAAUACCAAUUUGAUAUUUGUAUUUUUGUUUAAUAAUUUUAUUUUUUAAAAAUAUCUUUUAUUUGUUUAUAUAAUAAUUUAAAUAAAAGCAAUAGAAACUAGUAGAAUUCAGCAUUAAUUAAAUAUUGUGAUGAUGUUUGAUUCAUGUUGUGAUAACUUUAUAAAUAUUAAAUUAAAACAAAUUAUGAUGACUAAUUUAAAAUUAAUUAAUUAUUAAAAGAGUUUUUUAAUAUUAAAACGAUGAUAUAUUAAAUCAAUCUAAAUUUUACGGUUUAAUUUAUAAAACCCAUAACUUGAAUCAUGAACUCUACUUGAAAAAUUAAAAAAAACAUUAAGGUUGUUAUGAUGAUAAAGCACAAACAACAAUUAUAAUUCAAGAUUUUGACUAAAAGUGGAAUCCAUUAUACAUGAGUAUUGAUUAUUGAGCUAUAACCAGUCCGUAUAUGAAAAGGAAUGAAUUUAGCAAAGUUAUUAAACUCGGUCGACCUAGUGGCUGGACUGGUCUGGGUUUGUUAAAAGACAAAUCAGUGCAAUGACCCGGCAAAACCUGGUCAACCCAUGACCUGGAUGAGACUCGACAUUUUUUUUUUUCAAAUGUGGUUUUUCUUUUAUAACUUUUUUUUUCAUAUUUUUUUAGUUGGUUAUUAACACUUUUUAUAGUUCACUAUAUAAAUACUAGAAAAAUAUUUUAUUUUUUCAAUGUGGAAUUUGAAACCCUUUAGUAUAUACUCUAUGUUCCCAAGAAAAAAAAUUAUUUUUUUAAUGUGGGAUUUCAAGCCCUUUCAUAUAUAUAUAUUUUAUGUUCAUAAGAAAAAAAUUAUGUUUUUUCAAAGUGAGAUUUGAAACCAUUUAGCAUAUACACUCUAUAUUUCUAAGAAAAAAGUUGUUUUUUCAAUAUGUAAUUUGAAGUUCUUUCGUAUAUAUACUCCAUGUUCACAAGAAAAAUGUUAUGUCUUUUCAAUAUGGGAUAACAAACGUUUUGGUUUAAAUACUUCAACUUAAAAGGAUGACAUAAUAUCUUUUCAAUGUGAGAUUUGAAGCCCUUUAAUAUAUAUACCUAUGUUCCUAAGAAAAAAAAUUAUUUUUUCAAUGUAGGAUUUGAAGUCCUUUUGUAUAUAUGCUCUAUUUUCACAAGAAAAAAGUUAUGUAUUUUUCAAUGUAAGAUUUGAAACUUUUUAUUAUACUUUAUCUUUACAAAAAAAUAAAUUUAAAUUAAUCCAAUUAACCUGUCUACCUUUAGAGCUGAUUUAAUAAUUUUGGGAUGGAAGGAAUAUUUAAAAUAGUCUUAGAACAAGUCACAUUUGUUUGCUAUCGAUUUGAAAAGAGAAAGUUGCUCUCUCGUAAUGUCUAGUUUUAAAAUCAAAAGAAUCCAACAGAAAACGGCAACCAUGACCAUGCCAAAAGGGCUUAAACAAAAGCUCUACAGGAUCAAUCCACGAAAGUUAAACUCCAUUGAAUCAAGAUUUGAAUGUGCUGGGCAAUGAAAGCCCACAAUUAUAUAAAAUAAAAAAAUAAAAUUCAAAAAGAGUACUGGAAUGCUUGACUAUAACUGUAAAACCAAGCCAAGUCCAAUAAAUCUAUGUAAAAAUGUGAUAAUUCAGAACCUAGAUUAAUUGCUAGCUCAGUUGAUGAUCACGAUUUAUGACCUAACCAAUUUAAUUACAUUAAUGCUUACCAUGAUUUAGUCAAGAUUUAUCCUAGUCAAAAGAAAAAAGAAAUUCCAUAAAAUCUUAACCUGAUAAUCGGGGUCAUUUUCUUCGAGCAAGCAACGAAUCUCCAUAAAAUUUUAAACAUAAUUAGUGUAUAGAUUAAUUGGAAUCUUACCAAACAUAUAUAUAUAGAUCCUUCUAGCAUUUUGUCUUUAUUUGUAGUCUCCCUGCAUUUUGUAGUAGCAUGUCAUAUAUAUAUAUAUAUAUAUAUAUAAUUUGUACCAGAUGAAACAAAACAAUUCUCAAUACGUGGUGUUAUUAUACUUGAGAAUGAUUUAAAAGAUUGGGUCACAGGUUUCCAGCCUAUAUACUGAUUUUAUUAAAAGAACGAAGAAAUAAAUGCAAGUAAAUGUAAACAGAUUUCUGAUGCGAAUGAACAAGGCAAGACCAAUAAUGUCAGGAUCCUUGAUCAAACACAGAGCAUACUUAAUAAAGUAUAACAAGAAUUUAAAUGAUGAAAAUAAAAUGUUACUUAAAUUUGUAAUGUAAAUCAAUACAAGAGAUAUUGAUUAUAGAGGAGAGUGGAUAUGGGUUACAGGUAUGAGUUACAAGGGAGAAUAAAAUUUUCUCAGGGAAAAUGAUAGUCUGCCUUCUGAGGAUUUAAAAGUCCCCUUUUAUAGACGAGUUGACAUGGAAGAGGCCAAAAUGUGUUGUUGGGAAAGCUUGGAGAUUCCGUCAGAACCCAUGUGAACCCAUGUGGUAUUGCCUACCAUGAUUGGGUGAAGACAAAAUAAAAAAUGCCCAUGUUUUUUGUGGGACUUUCAUCUGUUGUCUUCUUGUCAUCGACACUGGAUUUGUUUGUUUGUAGUAGCAUGUGAUAUUUGUAAGAAAAAGCCUAAACCAAAUGGGCUUAAAGUUAAAAAGGACUCAAAACAGUUGAGUCGAAAAGAUAUGGGCUCUAAAGAGAUGAGCCUGAGAAAGCCUGAAAUACUCCUUUUUUUUAAUGUCGCUUGAUAGGUGGUAGGAUACCAAAACAGUCAUCUUCAUUAUCAUCUCCAAGGAAAAUGGUAGGAGAUAUCGAUCCAGAUGAGCUGGAUUGAGACAAGACCGUUUUCGGGUCUUGGCUUUGUAUAAUGCUUUGGACUAUUUGUGUGUAUUCUUCUUCAGUUCUAGUAGAGGCAAGAAGAGCUGUUGUUUGAGCCUUUCGGGCUAGAAACUUUGAUUGAGGAUGAUGAUCAAUGAUGGGAGCUGUUUGAUGUUUUUGUAACCAUUCCGUAACAGCUAAUUUGGAACUUUUGGAUUCAGUUGCAAAAGAAUCCCACCAUUUGAUUUUGAACUUGCGAACAAGUACUGGAUGUUCGUUUUGUAGAUUAUAAUCAUAAAACCAUGAACAUACCCAUGGCACAAAAAAAUUUGUAUAGAAAAUGAGAAGGGAAGAGAACUUCCUUUCAUAAGGAGCUAGUUAAAAUUUAUUUUUGAAAUGGAGGUAACCGUUUUCAACUAGAGGAUGGUCUUUGAGGUAGUCAACAUGACAACCAUAGUAGUCCCACCAUUGGAGGAACCAGAGUGGGAGGUUUGUAGUAUUCAUGUCAUUAUGGAAGUAGAAAAGCCAAGAAUGACUAUGGUUUGGAUUUUGUGGUAGGAAGGCAUUGAACCAUGCAUGUUGGUAAUCCCAGUACGUAUAGGAAAUAUUGAAGUCCUGGGGUUUGUACGGAAAUGUAUGGGGAAUGAGAGAGGUUGAUGUAAGGGUUGUCCCCAAUCUUUAGGGUGAAUGACUUUGUGAAUGAUACAUGUAGAAUAUGCCGGUUCUGUGUGAUCAGAAUGAAGUUUGAAGUAUUUGAACUUGACAGAAUUGGUAAUUUCAAGUAUUGUAGCAUAAUAGGAUUAUGGUUUGUCUAAAUUCCAGGGUUUGUAGUACCAAUGUGAAGGGAAAAUUUUGGAAGCAGUAAUGGAAGGGUUUUCAUGAUAAAAUCCUUCUUCCAUAGUUAAAAUAUUUUGGAAAGUAGUUUUGAAAAUAUAUUUGGAUUUGGUUUUGGGAAACUGGUUUGUUGUAAAGAAAGGAGGGGUUUUGAAGCAAAAAGGCCUCCUUGAGGUUUUGAAAAUGAUUUGGAAAUGCUACCUGUUUGAGAUAUAGAGUCAGUGGAGGCCUGUUGAGACACUUUUUGUAAUGCCAAGAGUAAUUUUGGUGAUUUGGAUAUAGUGUCAACCCAAUAUUGAACUGCGUCUGUUUGUACAUGUGGUGGUUUUAUAGUUUCUUCUUCUUCAAUAACUAUCUCAUACCAGGAUUUGAUGGGUUUGACAGCUAAGAUAAUUGAAGACAUGAGUUUUGUAGAAGGCUUGGGGCUCUCUGAUUUUAUAAGUUGGGUUUGAGGGGCUUUCCCCUUGUCUUUGGCCUUUGCUUUAGGAGGCAUCAAUACCUGUUUUGAAGGAAUUCUCGGGUUAGGAAAUCAGAAUGGAAUUUGAAUCUCCUUUAAUGUAGACAAUAUCGAAAUAAAAAAUACUUAAAAUAGCUUGCCAUCUAGCAAAAAUCUGUUUUGAAGCAAGAUUUUGGACAUCUUUUUGUAGAACUUUUUUUGCAAAUUUGCAGUCAACACGUGAAAGAAAUUUUUGAUUUAAUAAAUCACUUUGAAAUUUUGUAAUACAAAGAACAAUUGAAAGGAUCUUAUUUUUUAUAGUAGAGUAAUUUUUAUGGCAAUCAUUCCAGUUGGCGGAUGUGUAUUGGGGGAUUUGUUCUUUGUCAUCUUGUACUUGUUUAAGAAUCCCACCAUAUCUUAGGUUAGAGGCAUUGGUCUCGACAAUUUCAGGAGCUAACGGGUUAGCUAAAUGGAGGAGAGGAAUAGUUUGGACCUUUUUCUUAAUCUGUUUGACUAGGUCGGUAUGGAGAUCGAACUAAGGAAUGAGGUUUGUUCGUAACCUGUCAUGUAAAGGUUUGGCUAGACCGCUAAUACUUGGAUAGUAGUUUAGAACAUAAUUAAGACUGGUUAAAAACCUUUGCAAUUGGGUUUUAUCGGUGAUCUUAUCAGGAAAUUUAUUUAUAAGGGUUAGAGACCUUUCUAUUGGUGUUACAGUACCUUGGAAAAUAUAAUGGCCUAGGAAAUGGACACGAGUUUGGAAGAGAGAAAAUUUUGUUUUAGAAACAACUAACCAUUUUGUUUUGCAGUAUGAAAGGAAGUAUGUAGAUGUUUGAAAUGUUGAUCUAUAAAAUGUAAAAAAAUAAGCACAUUGUCAAUGUAAACAAUGCAGAACUUUGAAUGUGCAUUGAAGAUGUUAUUCAUGAUGUGUUGAAAUUCAGAUGAUGUAUUUUUUUAGGCCAAAUGGCAUGACAUUCCAUUUGUAUUGGCCAAAAGGAACUGUAAAAGCAGUUUUGUAUCUAUCUUUGGGAUCAAUCUGGAUUUGCCAAAAUCCAGAUUUCAUAUCGAACUUAGAAAAUAUGAAUGCAGAGUGCAAUUUUUGUAACAAAUCUUUUUUGUUGGGGAUUAGAUAUCUGAUCCAUUUGAGAGCAGAAUUUAAAAGUUUGUAAUUGAUCACAAGUCUUGGUGUGCCUUUUUCGAUUUCAGAGUUUUUAUUCACAUAAAAGGCUGCACACAACCAGGGUGAUCGAGACUUUUGGAUAAGACCUUUUGACUCGCGAUCGUGGAUUUCAAGUCUGCAAUGUUGUUCUAAAUUAACAUUCAUUUGGAUAGGUCUUGCUUUUGUAGGUAUAAGUUUUUUUGAAAAAAUAUCUUCAUAUGGAAGAUCAAAGAUGUGUUGUUUUCUUUUUCAAAAAGCAUUAGGUAAGUCUGAACAGAUUUGUUGUUCAAUCUUAUUUUGUAAAUCAAGGAUUUUCUUUUUUAAAUCAGAGUUUUGUAAUUCUUUGUUUAUACGACAAAAAGAAACACGGUUUUGCAAAUCAUGGAAAUGGAAUUGUUUUCCAUGAAUCUGUGCAUUGAUAUGAUAAGUAUGUAUGGAGCAUGCUCUAAUCAAAUUUAAAUUUCUAGUCUUAGAUUUCUCUAAGAAUGGGAAAACAAGUUUGAUGCUAUUGAUUUUGGAAGUAAUACAAUUAUGAUGUGCCUGAUAUGGAGUGAUCUUGUGAAUGAAUAGAGUGCCAAGAAUGAUGGUAUGAUUAAUAAGUUUUUGUAACAACAAAGAAUGUUUUAAGAGAAAUGCCUUUGUUGAAAACAUAGGCUUGAGUUUUGCCUGUAAUAUGUAAUUUUAAAUUAUUAGCAGCAGAGAGUUGUUCAAAGGUAUUUUGUAAAAAUCAUUUUGGAGCCACGCCUUCUUUGAUGCAUUUCAAAUAUGCACCUGUGUCAAAUAAGGUAAUAGUGUCAAGUUUGAAAUCUUAUAAGAAAAUGAGAGUAAUUCUAAUUAAAUAUUUUUUGGAAGAUAUUUGUGUUAAUACGUUAAGGAAAUCAUCUAGAAUAUGCUCAAUAUUUGUAAGUGCAUGUGGCAAUGCAUGAGAUUCGAUGGUUUAAUCUUCUGUAUCAGACUUAGUAUCAGACUAGCUUUCAAUUCUGGACAGGAGAUGUUGUAAUAUGGCAGUCUUUUUGUUGGGCUUGUUUGAGGGUUUGUAAUUCGGAUUUGAGGGUUUUGAUCUCAGAAUGUAAUUCUGGAAUGGUGACAGUGGUUUUGGAUUUCUUUUUGUUAAGGAUCUUUGUAAGGUCAUAUGUACUAGUGCUGGUAGAGGGUAAUAUAGAGCGGUUUGGAGGGUUUGAUGGAAAGUGCUCUGGUUGGUUGAAAUCUUUCAAUAACUUAUCUAAGUAGGUUUUUUGAAGUUGAGGAUCAUCAAGUCUUUUGAUAACCUCAAGAAUGAAUUUCUGGUCUUGGGUUAAGAUGUUAAUUUGUUUGAAAUUUAUAGAGGCAUCUGAAGUAGCCCUGGUAGUUGCUAUUUUAUCGAUUUGAAAUUCUUCUUCAGAAGUGUCUGAAGGAGAGUGGUAUUUGGUCAGUGGCUUCAAUGUAAAGAUUUUGUAUUUGGUUGAUAAUAUCUUCAUCUAUUUGGAACUCAUGAAGUUUGGUAUUAACUUUGCAGAAACAAGAUGUAUGUCCUUUCUGGUUACAUUUGUAACAAAUAAUGUUUUUAAGGUCAAAUUUUGAUUUGGGUUUUGACUGGAAAGGUCUACAGGGUUUGGUAAAUUUAUAGGACUUUUUAUAGUAAGGUUGAUCUGGUUUGGAAUAAAACUAUUUUCAUCGGUCGACAAGCUCCUCUCUUUAUCCACUCAGUCUUGAAAAGUAUCUAAGCUAAAUUCAGUUAUAUUUUCAUGUUCCAAUUAAAUAUUUUAUUAUUAUUAUUAUUAUUCCCAAAGGAAAAUGUUUUUCUUUUUAUCAAGCAUGUGUAUCCAAUCAUGAUUUUAUAAGAAAAAUAAGAAUAAGAGAUCUUUUAGAUAGAGCUGGACAUAAAUGUUGGCUAGGUAAAUGUUUUGUUUGAAUCCUGUAGACCAUUCCUAUGAGGAUGGUGAGAGGAGGGCUCCAAUUCGUAGAAAAAAAACGAUUCCUUGAGGUUAUCCUGCACAUGGAGAAAAAAAGUAGAAAAUAGAAUUUGAAACAGAAAGUUGAGAAUGUUUCCGUUGGUUCUAGACUCGGGAAAAGAGAGUUUUAGCUCUGGAGAACUGGGAUUUCCUCAAGUUUUAUGGAGAAAUCCCAGUUUUUGGUCAAUGCUCUCAUUAACAGACCUGAGAUUGCAUAGAGCUUAAAGCUUUUCUUGAGCAGAUGAUCACACGAAUAAAAACAGCAAGAUUAGGACUAAAAUUGUUAACCUAGCCUUCUUCGUGAGAAUGAUUUGGAUGAUUUUGUUUGCUUUGCUAGUUAUGUUAGCAACUCAAGCUUGGCUUUGACAAAUGAAGCAGAUGAAAGUGUUUGGGCUUUAAGCUUUUCAUGACCACCCCGCCGGAGAUUGAAUUCAUGGCUUCUCUUCUUCUGUUGGCUCUGCUACUAACAUGGUAGUAGAGCUUUCGACUGUCAGGCAUGGCGUCAGUACCGCAAAGAGAGGCUGCCCCCCCCUUGAAGUUGAAUAUGACUCAUCGGAAGCUCUUCGAUGCCAGUCUUCACAUCAAAAUUGCUAGUUUAACUCAUCAAAAUUGUUAUUUGUAUCUCUAACAGUUUAAUAUUUUUAUUUAUUUUUAUUUAAUUAGAUAAUAAUAAAAAUGAAAAUUUAUAAAAUUAAAUAUUUGAUUGAAAGUGUAAUAACUUUAUAAAAUAAUAAAUUAUAAUAACAAAAAAAAAUUGCUAUGAUGAAGAGUCACCAUAAUAUUUUUCAAUUCUAAAGAGAGCAGUAUAUAAUUCUUGAAGGGACAGUAUGAAAACGACAAUAAUAAUUAAAGAUUUUUGUGAAAAUUAAAUUUAUUAUAUAUGCUGUUGGUUCUGUUUUAUUUAUAAAAAAAAUAUAUUUAAAUAUUUAAAGGAGUUAUUUGAAAAAAAAAUAUAGGCCCACGAGGGGUGGGCUGGUUUAAAUUUCUGGCGUUAUCGUACGAUUACACGCGAAAAUCUACCAAGCUCGGGCGGACGGAAGAUUUGAUGUUGAUUACAGAUCCGACCCUGUAUAAAUUAACUUCUAUCGUGAAGAGCCCUAGUCAUUGUAAACACAACUUUCAAUUUCAAUAGAAAGGAGGAAGUCAGUCAAUACGGGUGUCUGCAGCUAUGGAUUCGAUCAAGCCUUUAGCCCCGAGCCGCCGCGUUUCCAAGUCCAAACACAGGAAACAAUGGGUACGAAUCAAAUCUAGUUAUAUUUCUAUGUUUUUCUUAAAAAAAAGAUUAUUCUUAAUGCUUGUUUCUUGACUGGUUGUUGCUGUAUAUCAUGUCAUUAUCCCCAGAAAUUAAAAAUAAUAGUUGUUCUUAUACAUGUUUAGAAGAACAGAGAGAGGAGGGAAACAAUGGAACGAUUGAAAACAGAUAUGAUCGAGAUCGGUGAGGGACAACAACGCAUCAGAGAAGGGCAACGAGAAAUAAGACAAAAGUUUGAAGAGAUAGGAUCUGAAUGCCGCAGGCUCAAAGAGGAGACGAUGAACAUUGCCAAGCAGAGUGAUUACAACCAAAUCAAGAUAAACCUAAUGUUUAGCAUCUUGAAAGCCCGUGAGGACAACAACUUUGCCCAUGCUGAUCACCUUACUGGGCUCCUCCGGUUGGUUAAAUUCUCUUCGCCAUUUCUUUUCUUAAUUCUUGGGAUUCCGGAUUUCAUAAUUAAUCUUGCUAAUGCUAGCUAUUACUAGCAGGGAAACAUAAGUUAACGAACUCAAAAUAAA
rnacentral:lncRNA from 1 species